AACAUACAAGUAAUGAUAAAGAGAGAACAUCUAUCUAUUACAUUCAUUCAGCCUUUAUAAUAUAAUUUGAUUAUACAUUAAACUUCUAAACAUAAUAUAAAGCUUACAUCUUCCAAAAUAUAAACAUUAACUUCCAUUCAUUCCAGAAUAUCUCACAUCCUAUACAUCAUCUACUCUCAAAGCAUAUAAAGCUGACUCUAAUGCAGAAAU
rnacentral:lncRNA from 1 species